rnacentral:lncRNA from 1 species
GCCAGGGGCCGGACACAAAGCGCGGCUGGCCGGGAACAGAGACCCCGAGGCCUCUUCAAAGCGGCGGCGCCCUCAGUGGCCGGCAUUCAGCCCGCGGCGAUUCCUUUGUCAUUGUCCCGUGCUCAGAGGGAAUUUCUGGGGAGCUGAACCAGGCGGACAGGAUUUGGAACCUGGGAGCGAUUCUCUUUGUCCGAAGCGGCCUCUCACCAGUCCAAUCCAGUGUGUAGGUUAAUAAGGCUUAAACUUUAAAGGCAGGGUGAACAUCUGAUUGACAAGCUGCUGAAUGAGAGUCCAGGGGGAAGUUCUGGGCUUGGAAAGUGCCCCGCUUCCUGAGAUGCAGCUGAAUUUUAAAGAGCCCCGGGCUCGCCACCUCCAGAGGCCGACUGGCACUGCUCAGCCCGCUUCCAGCUGGUCUCGGAAUCAGCACCGGAAGUGCUGCCUGGAAGAAUCACUCUUGUCCCCCAAUGAAAGGUGACUCAGGCUGGGAUCGAUCGCAAGUCAGCGUGAUCAGCUCCGAGGUGACCCUGCUCAGCCUUGGGCCAGGCUCAGUCCCGAUCCCCACCAGGAGCCCCCAGAAGCCGGGCCAGGGAAACUGUGGCUGAACAAUGAGAAAUACACGAGAGCUGUUUGGAUACCAAAUGAGUUACUUCAAGCAGAGCAGAGCUUGGUCUACAGCAAGCUGUUGAUGUCAGUGGACCACAUCUCCACGAAUGCUGCGCUGCACAACAAGCAGAGGUUGGCAUCCUCCUUGGUAGUUAAGCUCCUGUGAUAUCGUGAAAUACAUAUGUGGUCUGCUUCCCUCCAAGAAUCCUCCAAAAUGGGAACAGAUUGCUUCGUGAGACUGGCUCAGCCCAGGCAGAGAGCAGCAGGCCCAGGUGCGGCGAGGCAGCGCAUGAGGCCCAGCGUCGUAUGAACCUCGAGGUCACUCCAGGCCUCCUGCUCCCCGGAGGGGCAGAAGUGCACCGCGGUCAGGAGCCAGGCUUCAGGGUCUGAUUUUCCUGUUCGGAGUCCUCUCUUUGCCAGUUGCUGGCUGUGGAAGUUGCUCCAGGACACACAGAUUGGCGUCACGUGGGCUGAGAUGAGGUAAAGCCAUCAGGAGGCCUGGUCAGAAGGAGUGAGCAGCGUACCUCCCACCGCCAGGAAAAGCCGAACUCUGAGUUUCCUCCCCAGGGCUUUCCCGAGGGGCAGCCCAUGGCUAAGAUUCCAUGUGGAGAUCUGGGGACAAAGCACUGGCCCCAUGCCUGAUGCUCUCCUCAGUUCUCCUGUAAAGUGGCCCUUAACUGAAGGGGCCGAGCCAGGGUUGCUUGGCUCUUGGCUCCUUCCUCACCUGCUUCUGUGACUGGGGGCGAAUCUGGGUCAAGAAAAACCUCAGUGACUGGAAACCUAAACUGGCCCCAAAAGACUUGUACCUUCCUAAUCGGAAAGAGGGAGCCGUUUAUGGGCUGCUUUCCACCUGAGGCUCCAAACGGCAUGCAUUUGUUCUGAGCAACUAAUUGGGGAGCACAGAAAGCACAGAGGCUAUGGUAGUAAUAUAAACAAGGGCAGGAUAUUAAUUAAGUAGUUAAUUUUAAGAGCUGUAGUCUUUUAAUGCCUUAAAAAACUUUUCAGUGCAUUCACUGCAUUGCCACGACCCACCUGUUUCUAAAGAGAAAUGCUGAAAAGGAUAAUUUCAUCGAGUGUGUAGUUUGCACAGACUUUACACCAUGGCAUCCUCUUUGUCCCUGUCCCACGGGUGGGGACAAGGAGGUCCGAGCUGUCACACAGCUGCCCGAGUCCACAGAGCCCCCAUUCCUUGCCAGUCAGCCUUGCUACUUUUUCACGUACCAGGGGACACAGCCAGAGGGCCUUUGAGAUUAAACUAGUGGAUCCCACUGUCAGCACCGGCACCCUCAUGCCUUCCAG